ACCUGCAGCGGAUGGGAAGGGAUGUGAUCAUCAUUCCCUGAGUCCUGUCACCUGGAACCGUGACCAAAGGGAGAUCCCAGCACCAGCCACUCCAGCACUAGCCACCCCAGCACUCACACAGUGUCACAUCACCCAAAGCCCGGUAAUUGACUGUGUCUCCAAAGCAGAUCUAGCCCAUAGCAGUUGCUACCUCCGGGAGAGUCUGUGCUAACAUGACAUACAAGGUGAGGGAGCCCGGCAACCUCUGUUCUUGAUCCAAUACUCUAUUUCAUUUCUGAAGAGGACCAAAGACACCAUAGAGUAAUGGGAUAGAAUGAAAUCAGAGAGGAAGUCAUAUUUAGUGACUUUCUUUCUGCAUGCUCCAAUGCCAAAAAGAUGGAAGAAUUGAGAUAGUGAGGAGCAAAGGAGGAUGGCCUCUCGACAAGCAAUGAGCUCCCUCCUCUGUGGUCCAGGGGUCUUCCUCCUCUUCCUGGCACUGGGCUGCACCGCAGCUCCAGGAACCCAACUGGUAAGAAGGCCCCUUUGGGAUUCUUUUUGAUGGAAUUAGGUUCUCUUUGGCUAGA